CCUACGGGAGGCAGCAGUGGGGAAUCUUAGACAAUGGGCGCAAGCCUGAUCUAGCCAUGCCGCGUGAGCGAUGAAGGCCUUAGGGUUGUAAAGCUCUUUCAGUGGGGAAGAUAAUGACUGUACCCACAGAAGAAGCCCCGGCUAACUUCGUGCCAGCAGCCGCGGUAAU
rnacentral:rRNA from 1 species